GCUCCGGUAGCUCAGCUGGAUAGAGCACGAGCCUUCUAAGCUUGGGGUCCCGCGUUCGAGUCGCGGCCGGAGCG
rnacentral:tRNA from 1 species